CACGACGAAUGGAUGGGUUUGAGUGGGUUUUGCUAACGUUUUUCUAGAGUCGAGAGAUAGGGAUCCCAUUUCGGAUUCAUAGAUGCAUCAUCAGAGGCAAAUUAUUCAUUAUUUUUCAAAUUACAUUUUGUAAAGUUUCUUUUUUGACUCAGUAUAUUAUUUUUUAGAUGAGUU